UACAGAGGUGGCAAGCGUUGUUCGGAAUUACUGGGCGUAAAGGGCGCGUAGGCGGUCUUGCAAGUCCCGUGUGAAAUCCCUCGGCUCAACUGAGGAAUGGCACGGGAAACUGCUUGGCUUGAGUUCGGGAGAGGGAAGCGGAAUUCCGGGUGUAGCGGUGAAAUGCGUAGAUAUCCGGAGGAACACCGGUGGCGAAGGCGGCUUCCUGGACCGACACUGACGCUGAGGCGCGAAAGCGUGGGGAGCGAACAGG
rnacentral:rRNA from 1 species